UUUUGAGUACCUUCGUUUCCUCGGCGGGUCCGCCCGCCGAUUGGACAACAUUCAAACCCUUUGCAGUUGCAAUCAGCGUCUGAAAAAACAUAAUAGUUACAACUUUCAACAACGGAUCUCUUGGUUCUGGCAUCGAUGAAGAACGCAGCGAAAUGCGAUAAGUAGUGUGAAUUGCAGAAUUCAGUGAAUCAUCGAAUCUUUGAACGCACAUUGCGCCCCUUGGUAUUCCAUGGGGCAUGCCUGUUCGAGCGUCAUUUGUACCUUCAAGCUCUGCUUGGUGUUGGGUGUUUGUCUCGCCUCUGCGUGUAGACUCGCCUUAAAACAAUUGGCAGCCGGCGUAUUGAUUUCGGAGCGCAGUACAUCUCGCGCUUUGCACUCACAACGACGACGUCCAAAAGUACAUUUUUACACUCUUGACCUCGGAUCAGGUAGGGAUACCCGCUGAACUUAAGCAUAUCAAUAAGCGGAGGAAAAGAAACCAACAGGGAUUGCCCUAGUAACGGCGAGUGAAGCGGCAACAGCUCAAAUUUGAAAUCUGGCGUCUUUGGCGUCCGAGUUGUAAUUUGCAGAGGGCGCUUUGGCAUUGGCAGCGGUCCAAGUUCCUUGGAACAGGACGUCACAGAGGGUGAGAAUCCCGUACGUGGUCGCUAGCCUUUACCGUGUAAAGCCCCUUCGACGANUCGAGUUGUUUGGGAUGCAGCUCUAAAUGGGAGGU
rnacentral:rRNA from 1 species